UGCAGGCACAAGCAGGGGCAAGAACUACUGGGUUUUUUGUGCAGCAGAAUUCACUUCUGAAACAUUUACGUAGGCAUUUCUUUGUGUUUUCAGCCAUGCUUAAACCUUUUUGCAGCCGUCCCUCUUUACUAGUGCAAUGUUGCUCUUUCCUCCAUCUAUCUUAAGUGCAAUUCAAUAGCAGAAAUCACAAAACACUGAAUUUUGAGCUGACAAAAGGACGUCAGGGUCAGGGACCCAUAGGAAAGAGUCAGGAAAGAGAUAAUUAACUUUAUCCUGUUUUGUACUCCAACCGAGAUAAACAGGAGGAUGAUGAUUAACUGGGUUCCCAUUCUAAUCCUCCCCCUUGACGUCAACCCUCAACUACCGCCGCCUCCUGCACAGGCCUCCACUCCGGUCCUUCACCCUUCUCUCUCUGCACCUACUCUCUCCGCUCCAACACUGACAGGAAAAGCCAUAGAAGGUCCAAAAACAACAAGAUCUGUGCCCUCUGGACCCAAGUAUUUAAUGAGGAAGCUACACUGGAACCAACUGGAGGAAACUUUGAACCAUUAUGGAAGCUCCACAUUCCAUCUGAUGGCAUGUGGCUUCCUUCACUUUAAAGGCGUAUACUGCAAGGACAGCUCAAAUUUGGCAAAAAACCCCAAAAACAAUUCCCAUCUGCUCAGUCUCAAUAAUUCUGCUUCAGAAUUCAUCCAUCAUUAGACGCGUUUCUCCUCACCCAACAACAUUUCCCUCACACGAGCCAAAACAAGGAAUUAUGCCUUGAAAAGUUAGCAUUCGGUCGUUACAUAAGACAAGUGGACUCGCGUGAGCGCGUCAGCUCCCACAAAUCAUACGCUGCAAUCACUAAUCAUGUUGUCCUAAUGAGCCUCUGUAAUUGAACAUGUGCACAUGAAUCAAGAAUAACAGCUAAGAGAUUACACUCUGAUUCCAUUAAACAGCCUGUUAGUUAGACUGAACCUGUCAUCCAAAUGUGCCCCCCCCCCUGAAAGUGAAGUUGAUGUGACACGUUGGCAUUUAAGAAUAAAUCCAAAGGUACUUCUGCUGCCAUUCUUACAAUCUUUAAAUUAAGCUUGGGAGUGUGUUAUAGCUGUCUGCUUUCACUCACAACGGAAUUCUGAUAAUGGCCAUUCUGGCAUUUAUGGGGGGAACUGCUCCCAGUGCAGGCGCUACAUUUACACACCAUCUUGGAGCCUAAUUGGGCAAGAAGUGAAGCCCCAUUAAAUGAUACGCCACAAUAUAGUAUAUGACAAGAGCUGAAAGGAGGGAGCUUGGAGCCAUUUAAGUUACACGUCGAUAAAAGCCAAUGAUGUAUUUGAAGAAGCGCAUGGUUUCUGUCAUUGUCAUAAGAAGGAACAUUUUUUUAAAUUAAAUGUUGUUUAAAAAAAUAAUGUUACACUCACAUACAGUAAAAAGAGGAAUUGCAUGAAUUGUGAAUAUUUUCCUAAGGACUGCGACGAAAAUGAAUCUUGAAAGAAAAUAGUAUGAUUAAUGAAGUCAUAAUCACUCAUUGGUGCAUAUCGCAGCAGCAGGAUAGCCAACUUCAGGCUUCUUACGCCAGCGAUUGUCAACAGUUUCUUCACUUGUUUUGAUAUGUUAUAAUGAGGCUCUGCUCGGUGACGUGUCGGCCAUUUUUCCCAAGCCAGAUUGCUUCAAAUUCCUUUUUCUUAUUUACUGCCUGUUCAGUGCAGAUGCUUGCUUUCGCAUGGCUUCUAAACAAUAAUCCAUCCCCGGGCCGCAUAUCAGCCGCAGCACAAGCCGUGCUACUGUAAAUGUCGUACCUAAACAUUGCUGGCAACGUAUGAUUCAUUUUGUGAUUGGAAGAUCAAUAACCAAUUUGAAGAUGACCUGGUGGAGAGGAUCCAGAUUGCAGGGCUCUGCCUCGAUGUGCGGCGUAAAUCUCAGGUGCUGGAUGUGCACCGAGGCCUGCCACUGCUCCUGCUCUGGGGAAUGAUUUAUGCCUCAGUGCCGCGACAUGUCCUGUAGCGGUUGGGCUCUCAUCGAACGGCCCGGGGCUAAUUUGAGUGGCCUCAGUGAAAGAGGUAGCGGAGUGGAUGGUGGGGAUGGUAAGUGAAAGGGUCAGGGCGUUGGAAUGUGCAGAAAGUCGUCGUUGGGGAUGAUGAAAAUGAGCUCAAGGGACAUUAAUCAUUAGCUUUAUUAUCAUAUUCAUUAUCAGACACACGUGUUGACGCUCACAGAGACAUUAAAUGAUGCUGUCGAGUACACACGUGCAAAAAAAAUGAGAUGGAGCGAGAGCUCCAUGUGACUGUGGAAGGUAAAUGGUUGUGCAAGGCCAUCAUCUU